rnacentral:rRNA from 1 species
UGGGAAUAUUGGACAAUGGGCGGAAGCCUGAUCCAGCAACGCCGCGUGAGGGAUGACGGCCUUCGGGUUGUAAACCUCUUUCACCAUUGACGAAGCUGCAUCUUUUUGGGUGUGGUGACGGUAGGUGGGGAAGAAGCACCGGCCAACUACGUGCCAGCAGCCGCGGUAAUACGUAGGGUGCGAGCGUUGUCCGGAAUUAUUGGGCGUAAAGGGCUCGUAGGCGGUUUGUCGCGUCGGGAGUGAAAACCUUGGGCUUAACUCAGGGCUUGCUUUCGAUACGGGCAGACUAGAGGUAUGCAGGGGAGAACGGAAUUCCUGGUGUAGCGGUGAAAUGCGCAGAUAUCAGGAGGAACACCGGUGGCGAAGGCGGUUCUCUGGGCAUGAUCUGACGCUGAGGAGCGAAAGUGUGGGGAGCGAACA